ensembl:lncRNA
GAAAUACACUGCCCUGCAAGAAAUACGCUGCCCACCACCUCCUCUCUGAAUCCCUCCCCAGUUUCACUGAGACAAUAAUAUAUUGCAAAAAUACUCUUUCAUUAUUAUUAUUAUUAUUAUUAUUUAAAUGACCGUUUUUUGCUGCUUUCUGUACUUUGCACGACACAGUUCUCACCCUGUUUUGAUCAGCAAGGUGUUUUUGUUCCCUUUUCCCCUGUUUUUCUCCUUAUUUUCAUCUGUCGAGUGCUUGUUUUUGCCCGCGUUAGCAGGACGCAGUUGAAUUGAAGGUUUCAUGUGUUGGGGCCGCGGAGAGAAAUUUGGCCAUAACUUGAGGGAAAGUCUGAUGUGGGGCUGAGGGACGGUCUCGAAUUCAGGGCUAAAUCUCUGUGCAGCGGAUGGUGUGCGCAGAGUUCUCAGCCCCACGCUGAGCCACGCGGGCAGAGCUCUGCUGCUCACUGGUGCAGAUGGUCCCCAGACUCAGCAAUUCCCACAAUAUUCCUAUUGACUAAAAAAGAAGAUGCCGCAGCUGUCAGCCACCCACCUUUAAGGACCGCUCUGAAACAGCAUUGCUUCGUUUGGCAAAGUGCAGCAAGAAGAAGAAAGGGGAUUUUUUUUCCCCCCCUUUUCCCCUGUUUUUUUCUUUCCCUUCAGUGUUGUGAGCCUCACUUGCCAGAUUUCAUUUCGCCUUUUGUUGUGAAGCUGUUUAGACCAAAGAAGCAUAACGUACCUGUGCUUCGGAGCGGGGUCUGAGCUUCCAUUUAAUUGCCUGAAUCUGGAAGUUGAAUUGUAUUUAAAAAGAAAUGAGGCUAUUAAUAAUAAUCUAAGAACUGGCAGCGCUGUGGCGGUAAAAUAUAGAUUUAAUUUUUAAUCUUGGGCCUGCAGAAGUGUUUUAAAAUAAUGCAGCGGGCAAAGGAGCAAAGGAGCAGGAACUGUGCCUUGAAGAUUCUCCCUGCGCCUUCAGGAGGAUGCUGGGCUGAGCCAAAAUCAAAGCGCUCUGCUGUGCUCGCGCUGUGCUGCUGAGGAGUUGGUUUCAGAGGAGUUCCCUCAGCCGGUCAGAGAUCUCAGCAUCUGUUGCAGCCGGGAUGCAUUCCUUGAUCGUUUCUGAGUCUGCCAUUAUUUUUCUGCCUGCCCAGUGUCCCAGGGACGUGAAACGAAGCCGCUGCGCUUUGCUGCCGAGCACUGAAACUCUGCACCAACAUUCAAUUUGAUCUCUCGGAACUGACUGCAAUAAAGUGGUUUCGUCAGCACACACUUGUGAUAAAAAGGCGACACGAAGAAAGCCAGCGAGCUGAAAGGCCCUGCGUUUUGCUGGGAAGACAAUAGGAUAUCUGGCUCUUUAUUUGUUUCGUGGAUUCCUUGUGCAGCCAUUUAAAUUCAACAGAAGGCUCCAAAUGUCUAAACUUUAUCCUGGGCAUUUUAUUUUAUUUUUUUUUUUCAGUGCUGGAAAGGAAUAGAGUUAAGUGUCCCAAGGGGAGUUUUAUAGAAAAUGCUAUGUGCAAUGUUAAUGAGUUGGGAAGGGGUCGUAUGUUUUUCCAUAUAGAGCCUAUGCAGGAACAAAUACGGAACCGGAGGAGAAACCAUCUGCAGGGACCCAGUGAGGUGUGCCAGCGGGUGAUCCUGGGCUGCUGUCACCCCUAAAUGAUGAACAAAAGACUUCAAUCCCAAGAGCCCCCCGUGCCCCUGCAUGGCUCUGUGCUGGGCUGGGUGAAUAGCCGGGGCUGGAAGAAAUGACAAACUUCUUGGGUGCCACAAGAGAUUGCUUCAGCGUUACUGAUCCUCACUCUGCUCGUUACUGAAAAUGCAUCCAGCAGCUAUAUGGGUCAGACUGCUAAAUUUGUAGACACGGAGUGUCAGGAAGCCUUUUUGUCAACUUCGUACCGUUUAGUAUAUUUGUCCUCAAGUUCAAAGCAAUCCUGGCCCCAGACUUGUGAUAUUUUCUGCCCUUUCCCCUUUCUGUUGACUCAGGCCUCUUCCCUUUGAGGUCAACAUCAAAAUAAAGAUGUAUGUUUCCUCAGCCUGACCAUGGCUCUGAGUCUUUAGAUCAGCAAUCCUAUAGUCCAUAUGUCUUCCCAUCUGUCAGCCAGCAUUUGAAGCCAGCUUGCUCCUCUAUUCUUUCAGACAAGUGUGAGAAUCAGAAGUUUCUUUAAUGACGGUUUCAGGCCUUAAAGCAUUUGCUAAGAUAUUACCUAUUAAGAUCCCUUGAUGGCACCUUGAAUAGAGAUCAAAAGCAGCUGAGUUCACUCCGUAAAUCUCAUCUGGCCUUCAGUUUAGGGUGCUGGGAGAGGGGUGGGGAGUGUUCCUGUGCUGAGAAGCCCAGCCUGGGAAGUCAGCAUUGCAUUUGUGAAACAGUGACCCAGAGCGUGGCUCUCAGUCUGUCUCUCAAACGUUUCUAUUUUUAAUGCCUGCCAAGAGCUACUGCAAAGCCCUCGGGGUAUUUGGGGAAGUGUGUGCUCUUUGGGUUCAUAUCAUUUCAUUGGGUUACAGUGGAUUUAGCGGGGAGGCAUUCAUUGAAGUUUCUGUAUGUUGAAAGGUGUGCACGCUGUCAUGGGCAGAAUGGUGGAGGGCAUUCCCAGAGAACCUCCCAGCCGGUGCUGACAAACAGGCUGGCUGUUUAUGGGACCCCAAAUGUCUGUGGGGAUCUGAACAUCCCCAAGACGUGGCUGAGCAACGGGGGAUGAUGUCACAGCACUGACUGUCCAGUAAAACGUGACACACUGGAGUCAAGCACAACAUAUGGCCCUGGGUUUGUGUUGAAACCUGUUAAAGCGUGAGCAUGAACCCGAGCUCCAGAGAGAUCCUCUUUGGCCUCAGUGUCAUUAGUCUUCAGCCAGAAUAUAGCUUGUGCUCCCUGAGAAAAGCAGCUUCUCUGGCUGCCUGCUCUGUAGUGUCGCUGCUUUUGGAGGAGGUGCUCAAUCAAAAUGUGGGGCACGCAGAUUGUUUGCUUCCAAGAGGGGAAACAGAAGGGACCUCGAUGUAAUUUUACAUCUUAACCAAGAAGAUGCACCAGCUCCUGGACACCGCACCGAGCAAAAUGUCCAGCUACUUUUUGUUCCCAAAGCCUCUUUCAGCCAGCCCCUGCCCCAGAGUACUCUAUCUGACAUUGUCACUGGGUUUAUUUAAGAUGGAUUUGGCUUUUUUUUUUUGCUAUUUUUCUGUGCUUAUAAUCCUUUUAAUUCCACCAUUUUUCUUUUACGACCUUCGUUCAGUCUUUUCUGUCCCUCUUUUACGUGGUACUCAGCCAAGUCUGUCUCAUUGCUGUCAUUUUUAGUGUGAAUCCGUAUCUGCCUUUUUAGGGGGUAGUGGCACUGGUGACGUAUACUUGUGGUUAAAGCAAAAGCCACUAUUGAGUUGGACAAAAUAGGAUGAAUGCUGUAUAAAAAGCCUUCGGAGAGCUGUGAAAUCUCCAUCCUCUCUUCCUUGUUCUCCUGGGAACACUUGCACAAAGAGUAUUUUUAAUGUGAAGCAAAAAGGAUCCUGAUGAAUACUCAUUAACAUUUUGUUUCUGCGGAGAUACAUACAUGAUCAUCACAAGGCUGUGAGGGACAUGUAUUCGGGAAAGCUCUUAGAUGUACAAUUAUUGCUGUGUGCGUGUUUAAAUCUUCCCAAUGGCUGCUGCUUUGCUGAACAGACAUAUUAACCAAAAACAAAAACAGGUAUUUAAUGGAGCUUGUUUGUCCUGCCUUGGCCAGAGGCAGUAUGCUGCGAUAAAGGUCUUCAAACUCAACCCAUAGCGGUGCUCUGUGAGCAGUGGAUCCUCCCAGAAUGGAAUGGGUUGGUUGAAAUACACGCCUGCAAAUAAUUUGUAUCGUAGUUGUUAACAACAACGAGAGCAGAAUUUAACCAGAGAUUGCAAGGGGAAGCAACAUCAGAGCCACCAGAUACAUUCCAUAGCAUGUUUUCCUCAUGUGACUUUGGACUCAGCCCAGACAGACACCAUUGGGUGAAGGUAUCGCUUCACCAUUGCCACUUUGGAAGCACCAGUCUCAGAAAUGCAGAUCUGAUACGGACUGAAGCCUUUAUGCUACUGGCUGUAUCCCACCUAUUCUGAGCCGGUUAGAAAAAGAGCCUUGGUCAGAAAGAGUUAAUUUAGCAUUGAGUCUCAACUAAAAACCUUCUCUGAGAGGCAUGUGCCUGACUGUGCCCCUUCCUGCAGAUAUACCACUGAUAACCUUCUUCUGUUGCUCUGAAUGCCCUGGAGUGCUGGGCUGGCUUCACUGUGUGUGCAGGUCGUGCCCAGCAGUGUGAGAGGUCCCUAGGUUAGAUCAGGAGUGGGGAGCUCCCAUUUGCACAAAAGGGAAACUCUCCUGGUGGGACCAGCUGUGCAGCAGAGGUAACCAGACGUGACAGUGGAGUUUCCAGGCUUUGCUGGAGUUCUCAUACCCUAUCACAAGGCAAACUGGGCACUGAUUUUUCAUGAGGUCCCUUCUCUUCCAGUGACUGUAAUCCAAUCUGUGUUGUAAUCUGUGCUGUUCUUUCCGUAUGAAAUCUUGCAGGCUUUUUUUUUUUUUUUUUUUUUUUUUUUAGCAGCUUUUUGGAUGGAAUAAUGAAGCCGAACAGAAACAAGAAGAAGAAUGUAUGGUUUCGCUGUCCCUUUUGGGACCGCCCAGAAAUAUCCAGCAGAUGAACGUGUUUUGUGUGUCUGAGUGUCAUUUUGAUUCUCUUGAAGCACGCUGAAGCCAUGACACGAUGUCACCAGGGACUGGAGUUUCUGUCACCAUGUGAUGGCUGGUUGGCUGAGAAGAUCAUUCAUUUAAUAUCUCUAAAUACUUCUGGAGCCUCAGGGUACAAUGCAAAGUGGACGCGAAAGUCCAGGUGUAUCUGCUGGGGAGGGAAAGCUCUGAGUUCUGGUGCUUAACUGCAGAGUUUUUUUACACACCAGGAAAGAUGAAAAGCAGGGACCCGACUCAAGGACAUCCAUGAUGACAGUGUCUGGGUGCUACAACCAAACCUGCUCAUCGGGAUGGUGAUUUGGCACUGGUUCUGCACUCCAGGGUGGGAGGGCAGCAGAGUCAGGUUUCUGCUACCUGGACCUAACUACUAAUUCAAGCAGACUUUUUGUCCCUGGAGGGCAGGGUGAGUGGCUUCACAAUAUGACAGCUACUUAGGAGUUGUCACUGAAAAUCAGUCACCCAAGAAGACCGUUGACUUCCUUGGACAAAUGGGCCCAAAGCAUCCUGGUUGAAUUUCAGGAGGGAAUUACACCACUGGUUUACAUCACCAUUUAUUUUGGCCAUGCUGCAACAAGUUACUCAGUAUGUGUAUGUAAUUGGGGUUGUCUUUUUCUAGCUGAUGGAAAGAUAGCUGUGUAAUUAAUGGACUAGGUCAUUUGUUCUAACAAUAGCCCAUGUUAUGACAGUGAUUGUUAAACAGAAUUCUCCCUCAGCAGAAAAUAAAUAAAUAAAUAGAUUCGCAUUGAUUAGCAUAAUAGAGCUCGGGACUUCUAAACUGCGUUUGACCUUUGGUGGUGGCUAGAGAUGGUAGCACCUGUUACGAGGGAAGCAAAUGAAGAUGAUACAUCACUUCUAUUUUUAUGACGGUCACCACGCAUUGUAAAUAUUCUGCUUCUUGGCUCAGUGCGUCCUUGAAGUACACAGUGCUGGUCUGAAAAACACUGGGAUCUGAAUGGUUAAAAACAUACCCAUCACUUGACAUAGGUACCAUUCUUCGGCACGUAAGUAAUGUGAAUGUGACACUGCUCAAAUAUGUAGAGCUUCAUUUACCCCCAUCUUAUUAUUUGCAGAAAGCUGUGCACUCUGAUGAUGUCCUGAGGAAUACAAACUGGAUAUUAUUCAUAUCUCCGCUGCUUAUAUUUGCUGUCAAUAAACAGAC